CUUUUCAACCUCAUUUGAGAUUUUGAACCCUAACCCCUCUUUAGAGAGGCAAAUAGAGAGGCGACGAACAGAGCUUGGAAAAGGCCUCUGGGGGGAUAAAGAAUCCCAGAGUGAAGACUUUUUGUGCAGAGACUAGGAAAAUUGAGCUCAUCACCUUGUUUGAGUGUGCUGAUGAUAAUGAAGCAACAGAGGCCAAGAAAAUUGGAAAGAAAAUUUUGAUGAUGACCAUGAAAUUUUCCUUGGCAAUGGCAGCCAUACUCAGCAGGUGCAACACAUUGAUGCCGCCUACAUCCCCUUAUCUGUUUGUCUCUCACCGCUUCCCCUCGCCUCACCGCCGUCCCUUCUCGCCUAGAGGCCUCAUCCAAUCUCCAGAGGCAAUGUUUUUUUUAUUUUUUUAUUUUUUUCUUCCUGAAACAUAAAAAGAAGAAGAAAAGGGGGCUUUUAUUAUGGAUUUAUUGGGUUAGAUUUGUUGUGGAUUUAUUGGGCUUUUGUCUGUGCAACUUAGGGGAAAGUUUUCAAGUUCCCUAAGUUCAGCAAUUUGUAUUGGAAACAUAUCUUGCUUUAUAGAAAUGGUGGUAACCAGGAUUUUGUGCUGAUUGUCCCUAUAUUCAAUAGUCAACAGCAAAUAAAUUUUAUUGUGAUUUGGUGGUACUUAAUUUAUUUAUUUUUUCAUCUCUUCAAUUGCAGUUCAUCACUCUAUUAUACCAUAAAAUUUGUUGUCGCUACUUAAUGCUUCUUUUAUUCUUUUUACUUAUAUUGGUAAAUUCAAUUGCAUGACUUUUUUGCUUAUUGUUUCUCUUCGAAGAACGUUGCAUAGUAUGCUUAAGAUUGCUGUGGAAGUUGAUGAAUUAAUGACUCUAGGACAUAAAUAAUUUCCUCGUGCAUCAGAUAAAGAUCUGACUAUCUGAAAGUAGUGCUAAUUUUGUGUUUUAACAUCAUUUUGAUUCUUGUAUCAUCGCAUUUCUAAAACACCGUAUUGUGCUUAUUUUUACUCAUGUGCUUAACAGAUUUCCUCUCAUCACAUUUCAUGUGUUUUAUCUCUACAGAAAGUGAAUAAAUUCACUCUUGACGGAAAAGAGCCAAGGGAAACUAGUGGAACAAAACAAUGUUGUUGAUGAGUUGGACAACUAUGGUUGGAAACAGAAACUGGGGAUGCCAUUUGAUUUAGAACAAGACAAUGCCAUUUUGUUUCCUUUUUUUGGUGUUGAAUGGUAUUCAUGGAUGUAAUUUUAUUUUCUUAGUUGUUAGACAAGAUCAUACUGAAAUUUGUUUGAUUAAGUUGUGGUAGUGAUCAAUUUUGUUAUUCUCGUAUUUGGAAAAUGUAGAAGUUAUUGAAAAUUAUUUGUCUUGGUAAUGCUAAUAAAUGAAAUUAAUAUUUUCAUUCCAAA